rnacentral:ribozyme from 1 species
AUUCUUUUUUUUUUCUUCUUUUUUUCUUUUUUUUUUUUGUGUUUGUUCAUGGGUU